rnacentral:tRNA from 2 species
GGGCCCGUGGGGUAGCUUGGCAUCCUUGUGGCUUUGGGAGCCAUUGACUCCCGUUCAAAUCGGGACGGGCCCACCA